rnacentral:rRNA from 1 species
GGAGGGUGCAAGCGUUAAUCGGAAUUACUGGGCGUAAAGCGCACGCAGGCGGUUUGUUAAGUCAGAUGUGAAAUCCCCGGGCUCAACCUGGGAACUGCAUUUGAAACUGGCAAGCUAGAGUCUCGUAGAGGGGGUAGAAUUCCAGGUGUAGCGGUGAAAUGCGUAGAGAUCUGGAGGAAUACCGGUGGCGAAGGCGGCCCCCUGGACGAAGACUGACGCUCAGGUGCGAAAGCGUGGGGAGCAAACAGGGAUUAGAUACCCUGGUAGUCCACGCUGUAAACGAUGUCGAUUUGGAGGUUGUGCCCUUGAGGCGUGGCUUCCGGAGCUAACGCGUUAAAUCGACCGCCUGGGGAGUACGGCCGCAAGGUUA